rnacentral:rRNA from 1 species
UACAGAGGGGGCGAGCGUUGUUCGGAAUUACUGGGCGUAAAGGGCGCGUAGGCGGCCCGCUAAGUCGAACGUGAAAUCCCCAGGCUCAACCUGGGAACUGCAUCCGAUACUGGCAGGCUUGAAUCCGGGAGAGGGAUGUGGAAUUCCAGGUGUAGCGGUGAAAUGCGUAGAUAUCUGGAGGAACACCGGUGGCGAAGGCGGCAUCCUGGACCGGUAUUGACGCUGAGGCGCGAAAGCUAGGGGAGCAAACAGG